GACGAACGCUGGCGGCGUGCUUAACACAUGCAAGUCGAACGAAGAGCGAUGGAAGCUUGCUUCUAUCAAUCUUAGUGGCGAACGGGUGAGUAACGCGUAAUCAACCUGCCCUUCAGAGGGGGACAACAGUUGGAAACGACUGCUAAUACCGCAUACGAUCUAAUCUCGGCAUCGAGGAUAGAUGAAAGGUGGCCUCUACAUGUAAGCUAUCACUGAAGGAGGGGAUUGCGUCUGAUUAGCUAGUUGGAGGGGUAACGGCCCACCAAGGCGAUGAUCAGUAGCCGGUCUGAGAGGAUGAACGGCCACAUUGGGACUGAGACACGGCCCAGACUCCUACGGGAGGCAGCAGUGGGGAAUCUUCCGCAAUGGACGAAAGUCUGACGGAGCAACGCCGCGUGAGCGAUGACGGCCUUCGGGUUGUAAAGCUCGGUUAAUCGGGACGAAAGGCCUUCUUGCGAAUAGUGAGAAGGAUUGACGGUACCGGAAUAGAAAGCCACGGCUAACUACGUG
rnacentral:rRNA from 1 species